AAAAAUUAGCAGGCAGAGAAGACCAUGUUGAGAUUGACUCUGGUCUGGCACUGUAAGAGGACAUGAGAGGUGUAGCAUAAGUGGGAGAUGGUAACAUCGCCGGUGAAAUACUACUACUUUCAUCGUUUCUUUACUUACUCGUUUGGGCGGAACGCGUGCCCCGAGGGCUUACGCCCCGGCGGUCACGGUGUUCUAGAGCCAAGCGUGUAAGAGUGGCGUGAGGCCUCGGCCGAUCGCCGUUAAUACUCCCGCGUGAUCCGAUUCGAGGACACUGCCAGGCGGGGAUUUGACUGGGGCGGUACAUCUGUCAAAGAAUAACGCAGGUGUCCUAAGGCCAGCUCAGCGAGGACAGAAACCUCGCGUAGAAAGCAAAAUGGAAAGCUGGCUUGAUCUCGAUGUUCAAUACGCAUAGAGACUGCGAAAGCACGGCCUAUCGAUCCUUUUGGCUUGAAGAGUUUUCAGCAAGAGGUGUCAGAAAAGUUACCACAGGGAUAACUGGCUUGUGGCCGAGUGUUCAUAGUGACGUCGUUUUUUGAUCCUUCGAUGUCGGCUCUUCCUAUCAUUGCGAAGCAGAAUUCGCCAAGCGUCGGAUUGUUCACCCGCCAAUAGGGAACGUGAGCUGGGUUUAGACCGUCGUGAGACAGGUUAGUUUUACUCUACUGAUGACCAGUCAUUGCGAUAGUAAUUCUGCUCAGUACGAGAGGAUCCGCAGGUUCGGACAUUUGGUUCACGCACUCGGUCGAGCGGCCGGUGGUGCAAAGCUACCAUCCGUGGAAUUAUGCCUGAACGCCUCUAAGGCCGUAUCUUCUCUAGUCAAAGGCGGCAAUGAUAUUUCUAGGAGUCUCGUGAGUCGAAAGGCUCAAAACAAGUGUGACACUACUAGGCGACCGGUCCUAGGGCCGGUCGUCGCACGAGUCCGGUUUGCAUGGCCCCAUCGCCUGUAGUCGGGAUCUCACCGUUCGAUGGCACGGGGUCUAGCGGUCGACCAUGGGUUUCGCAAGUUCAAGGUCGAGACUCGGAAUGGUCUGUAGACGAUUUAGGUACCUGGCGGGGUGUUGUACUUGGUGGGGCAGUUACCACGCUGCGUUGUAUUGAGACUCAGCCCUCGGCUUGGGGAUUC
rnacentral:ncRNA from 1 species